UACAGAGGUCUCAACCGUUGUUCGGAUUCAUUGGGCGUAAAGGGUGCGUAGGCGGUCGGGUAAGUCGGAUGUGAAAUCUCAGGGCUCAACCCUGAAACUGCAUUCGAUACUGCCUGGCUAGGGUACUGGAGAGGAGACUGGAAUUUACGGUGUAGCAGUGAAAUGCGUAGAUAUCGAGAGGAACACCUGCGGCGAAGGCGGGUUGCUGGGCUGACACUGACGCUGAACUGCGAAAGCUAGGGGAGCGAACGGG
rnacentral:rRNA from 1 species